rnacentral:rRNA from 1 species
GUGGGGAAUAUUGCACAAUGGGCGCAAGCCUGAUGCAGCCAUGCCGCGUGUGUGAAGAAGGCCUUCGGGUUGUAAAGCACUUUCAGCGGGGAGGAAGGCAUUAAGGUUAAUAACCUUAGUGAUUGACGUUACCCGCAGAAGAAGCACCGGCUAACUCCGUGCCAGCAGCCGCGGUAAUACGGAGGGUGCAAGCGUUAAUCGGAAUUACUGGGCGUAAAGCGCACGCAGGCGGUCUGUCAAGUCGGAUGUGAAAUCCCCGGGCUCAACCUGGGAACUGCAUUCGAAACUGGCAGGCUAGAGUCUUGUAGAGGGGGGUAGAAUUCCAGGUGUAGCGGUGAAAUGCGUAGAGAUCUGGAGGAAUACCGGUGGCGAAGGCGGCCCCCUGGACAAAGACUGACGCUCAGGUGCGAAAGCGUGGGGAGCAAACAGGAUUAGAUACCCGUGUAGUCC